rnacentral:tRNA from 1 species
AUUUAUGUAGUUUAAAAAAAACAUUAUAUUUUCAAUAUAAAAUUAAUUUACGGUUCAUAAAUA